AGCAAACACUGUAAUUUGUGGCUGAAAUACCAGCCUGUUAGCAAGGUGCUUUGCAAGCUGCGGCGCCUUGAGCAAGGAGGUCCAUGUGAGUUAGAAGUUCUUGGAAAGAAGGGUAUGGUCCAAUUAAAUGGAAGGUCCAUAAGUUCAGGCACAAAAGUUCCCCUUACAGGAGGGGAUGAAGUCAUAUUCAAUUCAUGCGGCAACCAUGCUUAUAUUUUUCAGCAUCCUUUGAGUGACAAAGUUCCUAAAACGGUGCCAUCAUCUGCUGUUAGCCUUAUAGAAUCUCCGGUUGCUAGCGUAAAGCGCAUCCGUACA